rnacentral:lncRNA from 1 species
AAAGGACUGAGUGGCCACAUGUUUCCAAGAACUCUCCUUGUGACCAGAAGAGAAGGGUGUAGUGUAGACAUAAGCACCCAUUCUGCUGCAAACUAAGAACAAGACCACCACCUCCUUCUGCCAAUCACUCGGUGCAGCAAGCUGCCCUUCGGCCCUGGCCUGGACUCCUGUUUAUCCUCUGCCUGGUCCCCUGGGAAGCCGGGACUUAAUGAACUGCCGAGUUGCCGAGGCAGCCUUUGAUCCCAGCAGCUGAGUGGAGGAAAUCGAUACCAUUAAUGGAGAAAAUCUGGACUGUGAUGUGGAGCUUGGGAUGGGUCUUGGGGCCAUGUGACUGCCUGCCCACCUGCUGGUACUGGUGCUGAGAGGGUAUGGUAGGGACCUGGGCCUGGGUCCUGGGGA